AGUGAACGCUGGCGGUAGGCCUAACACAUGCAAGUCGAACGGCAGCACAGUAAGAGCUUGCUCUUACGGGUGGCGAGUGGCGGACGGGUGAGGAAUACAUCGGAAUCUACUUUUUCGGGGGGGAUAACGUAGGGAAACUUACGCUAAUACCGCAUACGACCUACGGGUGAAAGCAGGGGAUCUUCGGACCUUGCGCGAUUGAAUGAGCCGAUGUCGGAUUAGCUAGUUGGCGGGGUAAAGGCCCACCAAGGCGACGAUCCGUAGCUGGUCUGAGAGGAUGAUCAGCCACACUGGACCUGAGACACGGUCCAGCCUCCUACGGGAGGCAGCAGUGGGGAAUAUUGGACAAUGGGCGCAAGCCUGAUCCAGCCAUACCGCGUGGGUGAAGAAGGCCUUCGGGUUGUAAAGCCCUUUUGUUGGGAAAGAAAAGCAGCAGGUUAAUACCCCGCUGUUCUGACGGUACCCAAAGAAUAAGCACCGGCUAACUUCGUG
rnacentral:rRNA from 1 species